rnacentral:rRNA from 1 species
GGCGAUCAGAUACCGCCCUAGUUCUAACCGUAAACGAUGACAACCAGCGAUUAGUCGGCGUUAAUCUACGACCCGACUAGCAGCUUCCGGGAAACCAAAGUUUUUCGUUUCCGGGGGAAGUAUGGUUGCAAAGCUGAAACUUAAAGGAAUUGACGGAAGGGCACCACCAGGAGUGGAGCCUGCGGCUUAAUUUGACUCAACACGGGAAAACUCACCCGGCCCGGACACCGUAAGGAUUGACAGACUGAGAGCUCUUUCUUAAUUCGGUGGGUGGUGGUGCAUGGCCGUUCUUAGUUGGUGGAGCGAUUUGUCUGGUUAAUUCCGAUAACGAACGAGACUCUGGCCUAUUAAAUAGACGGCGUAUCGAAAAGUACGCCGAGCUUCUUAGAGGGACAAGCGGCGUCUAGCCGCAUGAAAUAGAGCAAUAACAGGUCUGUGAUGCCCUUAGAUGUCCGGGGCUGCACGCGCGCUACACUGAAAGAAUCAGCGUGCGAUUCUCAGCCUGGUCCGGAAGGAUCGGGUAACCCGAGUAAAUUCUUUCGUGCUUGGGAUAGGGAAUUGCAAUUAUUUCCCUUGAACGAGGAAUUCCCAGUAAGUGCGGGUCAUAAGCUCGCGUUGAUUACGUCCCUGCCCUUUGUA